rnacentral:rRNA from 1 species
UUCCGUAAGGGUGCCUGCGGAGGGAUCAUUACACAAAUAUGAAGGCGGGCUGGAACCUCUCGGGGUUACAGCCUUGCUGAAUUAUUCACCCUUGUCUUUUGCGUACUUCUUGUUUCCUUGGUGGGUUCGCCCACCACUAGGACAAACAUAAACCUUUUGUAAUUGCAAUCAGCGUCAGUAACAAAUUAAUAAUUACAACUUUCAACAACGGAUCUCUUGGUUCUGGCAUCGAUGAAGAACGCAGCGAAAUGCGAUAAGUAGUGUGAAUUGCAGAAUUCAGUGAAUCAUCGAAUCUUUGAACGCACAUUGCGCCCUUUGGUAUUCCAAAGGGCAUGCCUGUUCGAGCGUCAUUUGUACCCUCAAGCUUUGCUUGGUGUUGGGCGUCUUGUCUCUAGCUUUGCUGGAGACUCGCCUUAAAGUAAUUGGCAGCCGGCCUACUGGUUUCGGAGCGCAGCACAAGUCGCACUCUCUAUCAGCAAAGGUCUAGCAUCCAUUAAGCCUUUUUUCAACUUUUGACCUCGGAUCAGUAGGAUGCCCGGG